UACAGAGGGUGCAAGCGUUGUUCGGAAUUAUUGGGCGUAAAGCGCGUGUAGGCGGCUUUGCAAGUCGGGUGUGAAAGGCCCUCAGCUCAACUGAGGAAGUGCGCCCGAAACUGCAGAGCUUGAGUACCGGAGAGGAUGGUGGAAUUCCCCAAGUAGAGGUGAAAUUCGUAGAUAUCAGGAGGAACACCGGUGGCGAAGGCGGCCCUCUGGACGGUGACUGACGCUGAGACGCGAAAGCGUGGGGAGCAAACAGG
rnacentral:rRNA from 1 species